CAUUCCAUAUUUUAUUGCCUUUUUUUUUAAAUAUAUUUGGGGUUUUGUUUUCAAGUAGAGUUUUUAUUUCGUUCUCGGUUGGGUCAGUAACACGCUUCACCAUUAUUGUCGUCUUCAGGGUUUUUUUGGCGGUUGGCAAACCAACUUAAAGGUGCAUUACUGCCACCGACUGGGCUGGAGUGUGGAGCAGGAGAGAUUUUAGGGGAGAAGAAACCUGUUUUCUUUUAAAUACUCGAUGACAGUGAUUACAAUCUGACUUGAUGCGCACCGCCAUUUUGUUUUUCUUUACUCACGGUAUAGGCUAUGAGCUGAUAUCCUAGUAGUAGAGUAGCCAAUCAGAGCGCACGAUUACUCAUAUCCAGUGAAUGUGGAUAGAAUAAUUCUAAUUUCAUUUGCUUGUGCUUAGCUUUGGUUAAUUGUUACCUACGUUACACCAAACUCAGCUGAUCCAAAUCAUUUUCAAAAAAAAAUAGUGUUUAAACAAAAUCGGACCAAACUUGUCUGGAUUACAUGUACUGCAGGAUACAUUCGACCUUUCUGUAUAGAUUUGUAAUGCCUGGAGGAGAUCAUUAUCUCCUCAUGAGGAGAGGAGAGCGUGUUACCUGCGCUCCAGUCUCCAGGCAUAGAGAACGUACACCCAGCCGUGCACUCAGUCUGACCGUAGCCCUCGAAUAUCUACACACAGAGUAAAACAUGUUCAUUAAGACGACGUCUCUGACACAAACUCACUCAACCACCUACAGCAAACAUCCAAGAGAAUACAAUAUUUAUAUUUAAAAAAAAAAAAAGUUUUAUACAGCUGUGAAAAAGAUGUAAAAUCAUUUUCCAUGAUGUGUAUACACUUGAUGGCUAUUAAGAACACUGAAUGUGAUCUAAACCCCAAAACAGUUCAUGCCCAAGUAGCUUUGUCCAUAAGAACUGCUGCAUAUACAAAAAAAAAAAACAUAUCAGUGUCUUCAUAACCUUAACUCUGGAUAACUUUGCACGUAGCCAGAACCUCACUAAUAUUCGAAGGAUGUUUCCAUUUCUUUUUUUUUUUUUCCCCUUCCUUUGACUGGAAAACCAGGCUAUUAAAGUCCAGGUGUUCCAGGAUGCGUGGGAACUCGUGUUCUGUUCAUUUGUCUAGUUUUCCCACAGUCUUGUUCCUCCAUAUAUUUGAUUUCAGUGCCAGGACAUAACUCAUUUGGGUUCAUUUUACACUUCUGCAUUACCGUUCCUACUGCUUUCAAUUCGAUUAUAAACUUUUUGUCUUCUAUUAGUGUGGAAUGGUGUAAUCUUGUUUGAGAAAUAUAAUGAGGAGUAAAUGAUAUUAGUUGUGGUUUGUUUUUUUUUCCCCCUUUUCUAAGGAGAGCUCUGACCAGGCAGCCGAGGGCGGCUCGGAGGAAGGACAGCACUGUGGGCGAGAUGGGAGCUGAAGCCGUCAUGAUGAAGCGCAGGUUUCCUCCCAGACUGGCCUAGAGAGGGAAAGAAACAAACAUCUUCAAUCAGGUCGCUCGACACCGCUACGUUUCUGUAGCAAGCAUGACCUCAGCUCGGAGGUGAAAUAUGCAGCCACACCGCCAGUCCAACGAAAGAGUGUGAAGUGCACACAGAGUGGCUCGAGACUGAGGACUUGGGAAGUACGUAAAACUGGACAUGAGAGACCAAGCGACAGAGUGAAUGGGGAAACGGCGGGGAAGGAGUCAAAAGUCUGAAGAAGGAGGAAGCAGUGGACUUGUUUCAAGAUCAAUGAUUUCCUACGUGAGAUUUCUCACUCCUGAGGUUUCCUCGCACAUCCAGUUUCACAACACGUGCCUUUGUGGUAAAAUGCCUGACAUAUCAAACUGGCAUGACCAGACAGUUCUCUACAACUGUCUCCCUCACCCUUUUCUUCCUCCUUUAUUAAAAUGUUUACAGUCCA